UACGUAGGGGGCGAGCGUUGUCCGGAAUUACUGGGCGUAAAGGGUGUGUAGGCGGUUCUUUAAGUUUGGUGUGAAAUCUCCCGGCUUAACCGGGAGGGUGCGCCGAAUACUGAGGGACUAGAGUACGGGAGAGGAAAGUGGAAUUCCUGGUGUAGCGGUGAAAUGCGUAGAUAUCAGGAGGAACACCGGUGGUGUAGACGGCUUUCUGGACCGUAACUGACGCUGAGACACGAAAGCGUGGGUAGCAAACAGG
rnacentral:rRNA from 1 species